UAUUAGCGUUACUCAAAAAGUACGAAAAAUACUCUUACGAUUUCUCUCUGUGGUCCCAUGAUGCCUUCACAAUUUCCCGAUCUCUCUCCUGAUCUAAUCUUUAGGCCUAACAAUUCUCUUAAUUUGUCUAAUUUGGAAAUCAAUAUUUGAAAUUUUCAAUUGAUUUCUUAAGUAUAGUAUGACAAUUCUCAACGAUUGAUGAAGCUUUUCACCAUUUUGUUCUCAGACGACUGACAAGGAAUCUCGAAGAAUUUGUUCUCCGGCGGAUCGAGACAAGUUUGGUUAGUUUAGGAGGCUCAUUUGAGUGAUGACUCCUUUCUUAGAUACUGCAAUACCAAGGAGCUGCUUCAAACACAUUUGAAAAGGAUAGGAGGUAGAGUUUUAACUCGCUUUCCUCAUGAACCAAAUGGCUAUUUGCAUAUAGGUCAUGCCAAAGUGCAAUGCUUAUAGACUUUGAACUCGCUAAAGAAAGAGGUGGAGGAUGCUAUCUAAGAUGAGGAAGCUCUUUUUUAACUUUGUUGUGUACCUUAUAUUACUGCAAAGGAAAAAAAAGGAAAAAGAGAAGUAUCAAUUGACAAUUUUGUAUUUCUUGAAGCUAUAAAAAAGAGAAGCCUGAAAAGAUAUGAUAACGACUAUUCCUACAAUAAAGGGUGUCCCGCUGUGUGAUUGUCUAGAAUAUUAAGUUAUCCUAAUUAAAGGAAAUAUUUAUUGUAAUUGAUUUGUAAUAAUUUGUCUGUUAUGAUUUUGAGGAGUCCUUAUCUACACGUGUAAUGAGCUAAGGCUGAAAGUCAAUUGUACCGUUUAUAUAUAUAUAAAUAAAACACCGUGGGAAAAAGCGGUGAACAAAUAUUCUUCUCCCUAAAAUCUAAA